GUCUCUGUAGUUUAACGGAUAGAACACUGGCCUCCGAAGCCGGCAAUACCAGUUCGAUUCUGGUCAGAGGCACCA
rnacentral:tRNA from 1 species